UCGCGUAGCGCAGACCUAAAUUGAACACGCUCCCGCAACUGUAACGGCCCCCCUCGCGCGCCGCCCCGACGGCUCACGCGCCGAGCGUCCCGCCUCCGCCGCCGCUCAUCGUCGUCGUCCUCCUCCUCCUAGCCGACGUCCGGCUUCCGCCUCCGCAACUCCUCCUCUCCCUAGCCGACGUCCCACCGCGGCUGCUCCUCUCCCAUCUCGCCGAUGUCCCGCCUCCGCCUCCGCCAUUGCUCCUGCUUCACCACGCCCAUGUCCCGCAUCCGCCUCCGCCGCCGCCUCUCCUCUUCCACCUCACGACCCACACCCUCCCGGUCUCCCCGCGCCGCCUUUGCGGCGGCCACGGAGCGUGUCCGCGCCGGAACGCUCAGCCCGCAAGACGCACACCACCUGUUCGACGAAUUGUUUCAGCAGGCCACCCCGGUCCCCGAGCGCCCCCUCAACGGAUUCCUUGCCGCCCUCACCCGUGCCACGCCCUCCGAAGCCUGCAGAGACGGCCCCGCUCUCGCCCUCUCCCUCUUCAACCGUGUCUGCCGAGAAGAAGCCGGCAUGCGGGUGGCGCCGCCCACCAUCUUCACGUACGGCGUCCUCAUGAACUGCUGCUGCCGCAUGCGUCGUCCGGAACUUGGGCUCGCCUUCUUCGGCCGCCUCCUAAGGACGGGCCUGAAGGCAGACAAGAUCGUCGCCAACACUGUCCUCAAGUGCCUGUGCUGCGCUAAACGGGCAGACGACGCUGUGAAAGUGCUGCUUCAUAGGAUGACCGAGCUGGGGUGUGUGCCUGAUGCCUUCUCAUACGCCAUUGUCCUGAAGAGCUUAUGUGAUGAUAACAGGAGCCAGCAGGCGCUCUACCUGCUCCGGAUGAUGGCGAAAGAAGAAGGUGUGUGCUCCCCUGACGUGGUCACAUAUAACACCGUCAUCCAUGGCUUCUUUAAGGAAGGAAAAAUAGGCAAGGCCUGCAAUCUAUUCCAUGAAAUGACGAAGCAAGGGUUUGUGCCUAAUGUGGUGACAUAUAACUCGGUUAUCAAUGCAUUGUGCAAGGCCCGAGCAAUGGACAAUGCAGAGUUGUUCCUUCGGCAGAUGGUUGAUAACGGCGUUCAACCGAAUAAAGUGACAUAUACUAGCAUGAUCCAUGGAUAUUCCACUUUGGGCCAGUGGAAAGAGGCGACUAAACUGUUCAGAGAAAUGACAAGCAGUGGUCUUAUACCAGAUAUUGUCACUUGGAACUCGUUCAUUGACUCCCUUUGCAAGCAUGGAAGAAGCAAAGAAGCUGCAGAAAUUUUUCAUUCCAUGUCUGCAAAGGGCCACAAGCCUGAUAUCAUCUCCUACACCACUCUUCUUCAUGGGUAUGCCAAUGAAGGAAGCUUUCCUGAUAUGAUGAGUCUCUUUAAGUCAAUGGAAGGCGACGGUAUUGUAGCCAACUGCCAAUUUUUCAACAUAUUAAUUGAUGCAUAUGCUAAACGAGGAAUGAUGGACGAAGCUAUGCUCAUAUUUACUGAAAUGCCAGGACAAGGAGUCAAUCCAAAUGUAGUCACCUAUUCAACUGUGAUAGCUUCACUUUGCAGAAUGGGUAGGCUGGCUGAUGCAAUGAAUAAGUUCAGUGAGAUGAUUGGUACGGGAGUACAACCGAACACAGUUGUUUAUCACUCCCUAGUUCAGGGCUUAUGUACACAUGGUGAUUUGGUGAAAGCGAAGGAGUUGAUUUCUGAAAUGAUGAAUAAAGGUAUUCCUCGUCCAAACAUUGCAUUCUUCAGUUCAAUAGUACACAGUCUAUGCAAAGAAGGAAGGGUUAUGGAUGCACACCAUAUCUUUGACUUGGUUAAAGACAUAGGGGAGAGAUCUGACAUCAUUAUGUUUAAUACGCUGAUUGAUGGAUAUUGCCUAGUCGGUGAGAUGGGCAAAGCAGUCAGUGUACUAGAUGUCAUGAUAUCAGCCGGCAUUGAGCCUGAUAUCUUUACAUAUAAUACACUUGUCAAUGGUUAUUUUAAGAGUGGAAGGAUCGAUGAUGGGUUGAAUCUGUUCAGAGAAAUGUCACAUAAGAAAAUUAAACCUACAACUGUUACAUAUAACAUCAUACUGGAUGGAUUAUUUCGUGCUGGGAGAACCGUUGCUGCCAAGAAAAUGCUCCAUGAGUUGAUCGGAUGUGGAACAACAGUGAGCUUGUCCACAUACAACAUAAUUCUUAAAGGACUUUGUAGAAAUAAUUGCACCGACGAAGCAAUCGUCAUGUUCCAGAAAUUACACACAAUUAAUGUAAAGUUCAAUAUCACAACACUCAAUACCAUGAUUAAUUCAAUGUACACUGUUCAGAGAAGAGAAGAAGCUAAAGAUUUGUUUGCUGCAAUAUCAGACAGCGGGUUGGUGCCCAAUGCCUCUACAUACGGCAUAAUGAUACGAAAUCUUCUAAAAGAAGGAUCAGUGGAAGAAGCUGACAGUAUGUUCUUAUCAAUGGAGAGGAGUGGUUGUGCUCCUUGCUCUCGUCUUUUAAAUGAUACUAUUAGAACGUUAUUGGAGAAGGGGGAGAUAGUCAAGGCCGGAAAUUAUAUGUCUAAAGUUGAUGGCAAGAGCAUCUCACUUGAAGCUUCAACUUGUUCAUUGUUGUUGUCUCUGUUUUCUGGGAAAGAUAAGUGUUCGUGUGGUUUGGAGCUCCUCCCUCUCAACGGUGUGGACAAGUGCCUCACCAAGAUUGAGCUGGGUGAUGGUGCCACACUGCCACCAUGGUGUUCUGGUCGGUGCUUAGCUGCUGGGCGUGUAUCCUAUGGACAUCGCUCCUAAAUCCUAAUCCGUACGCCACCUCCACGCAUGGGCCAUCUGGUGUGUGAUGUGUUUGCUAAUGGUAAAAGAUAUCAAGCUAUUUGGAGUUCUCUGAACCUCAGCAUAUCAAGUGUGUUUUGGGCCGAUGGCAGUUAUAGUAAAAUCAAUGAACUAUUCUACAUCAUCAAGCUGUUUGGCGUUCUCUGAACCCCCCAGCACCAGGAGCUUGAUGAUUUUACUACCUGACCGAUCUUGAGAUGAAGUUUCUGUGAAGAGAAAGUAAAUUGUUAUCUUGUCAUCCAGUGGAUUGGUUAGUGAAAUUGGCACUUCUGGUCAUCUAACGUUGCUCCAACAUCUCAGAGCCCCUUAAAUAUGCUAUUUCUUCGUCUGUGAUGUAGAUUCACCCACAAAGCAGCAGUGUGUCAAUCAUGAUUUCGGGAGAAUUCGUCAUGCUGAUAUGGUGCCCUAACCAAAGCCAGGCUGUCAGUCUACAUCUUAUGCAUGGGUUGCACCUGAUAAUAUAUUUAAGGUCUUAAAAGUUUGUAUUAUGCAAUCUCAAUUUUUGUUUAGGAAAUAAUUGCCAAAUUCAGCCCUAGUUACCUACUGCAAGAUUUUUAUGUUUACUGAGCUAAUAUGCUCUUCAGAACUAUUCUUAUUAGGUUAUCAAAUUGUUCUCUCAUGUGAUGAGGAAAGUGUUUUCUCGUACGAACAAGUAUUUGCUUGUCAUUGAACUGGAGGAUUUACUUAUUCUUUUUAUAUAAUUUAGCUAUUGUACUGUAUAAAGUUUACUUGGCCCUUCUUUUUCGGACUGAUAAAUCACGGUGGCUUAAUCCAGUAUAUCCAUUUGCUA